UCUUCUUACUCAAUCUUUGCUUCCACAAGAGAAUGCUGUCGCAUACGCUGCUCAAGGCAAAUGGAGGGUUCUAGUCAUGCGUACAGUUCAGUGCUACAGUUGCAAAGAUUAUGAGCAUAUUGCUGCCCAUUGUGCUAAAAAGUUCUGCAACUACUGUAAACAGAAGGGGCACAUCAUCAAAGAAUGCCCAACACGUCCUCAAAACCGACCCAUGAAUGCUUAUCAUGCUACUGCUACUGGCCACACUUUAGAUGGGGUAACCAGCACUCAAAAUCUUACUUCAGUGUCAUCUUCCACUGCUGCUACACCUGCCCUUACACCAGAAAUGGUGCAGCAAAUGAUUGUAUCGGCAUUUUCCGCUUUAGGGCUGCAAGGUAAGGGUACUAUACGUACUAUACCCUCUCAAUCUUAGCUUGUUGACUCCGCUGCAUCCAAUCACAUGACCAGUUCUCCUGAUAUGCUUAGCAAUGUUCGAUCCGGUGUCGGGGAGGACAAUAGCGAAGGGGCCUAAAGUUGGGAGACUGUUUCCAUUAUACUUUUCCAUUCCUAGUAUCAUUUCUUUGGCUUGUACUACUGUCUCCAAUAAUUGUGAAGUAUGGCACAAACG